AGAGGCUCCCGCGGUGGGAGAGUGAGCGAGGAGGCUGGAGCUGCCGCUGGACCGCGCGCCUUCCAGGUUUUCAAAUAAACCAAUUUUCAGGGGAGAAAGGAUGUAAGACGCUGUCCGAAGGGGAAGGCAGUUCCGGAUUCAGCUCCAGCAGGAGACCCAGAGCCAGAUGAAGAUCCACCACCUGGGCAGGGAGAACCUGCAGCUGCUUUUGCAGGAGUCCCAGAUCCAGAUGUUAAUUUACCACCCCUGCAGGGAGAACCUGCAGGAGACCCAGCGCCAUUUCCGAAAUCACCAGCCCCGUGGGCGGAGCCAGAUCUGCAACCACCAUCGCUGUCAGCUCCUGAUUUAUACCAUCAACCCUCCCCCGGCCUGAAAUUUACUUUCCUUCCCCUGUCGUUGUUUUUGUUUGGGUGUUUUGUAAUUUUAUUGUUUUCUUUCACAUUAUUUAUG